rnacentral:rRNA from 1 species
GGCUUUUUGAUUAUAAUUUAAAGUCUGACCUGCCCAAUGAUUUAUUAUUAAAUGGCCGCAGUAUAUUGACUGUGCAAAGGUAGCAUAAUCAUUAGUUUUUUAAUUGAAAGCUUGUAUGAAAGGUUUAAUGAGAAAAAUACUGUCUUUAUUUAAAUUUAUUAGAACUUUAUUUUUAAGUAAAAAAGCUUAAAUAUUUAUUGAAGACGAGAAGACCCUAUAGAAUUUUAUAUUUUCGUUAUUUUUAUUAAAUUUAGAAUUUAUAUAUAAAUAUGAUGAAAUUAUUUAGUUGGGGUGAUAAAAAAAUUAAUUAAACUUUUUUUUAAUUUUAACAUGAAUUAAUGAAUAUUUGAUCCUUAGAAUGGUAUUAAGAUAAUAAGAAAAAAUUACCUUAGGGAUAACAGCGUAAUUUUUUUUAGAGUUCUUAUCAAAAAAAAAGAUUGCGACCUCGAUGUUGGAUUAAAAUAAAUUAUUGGUGUAGAAGCUAAUAUUUAAGGUCUGUUCGACCUUUAAAUUUUUACAUGAUCUGAGUUUAAACCGGUGUGAG